ACUGGGUCAAGUUCUGCUCUGAAUACAAUGAAAAAAGUGGCAGCUCCGAGAUUAAAACUGUAGAUAUGAUGAUGACGUGGAUGUCAAAAUCCCUUGGAUGGAAGUUUUACAGAAAGAAUUUAGAAGAUGAAAGCAGAGAAAUUCACUUUGAGAAAGCACAUGGUAAUCUGACAGCUAGCAUAUGGCACAAUGAAUGAACUGAGGAAGAGCCGUGAUAUUCCUACCUGUGUGAUGGGUCAUGUCCAACCACUGAUACAAGGUGCCACUACAGCAGGUACCACUCAACAGUAUCAAAUUUCAGACUUAUUGGAAUAUACAUAAAAAAAAGGUCACUUCCAAGAAAGCCGAGAAACAAGAUGGGAGAUACAAAUUACAAUUCCUCCCCCAGAUCUGAUCUUCAUUGGUUGUUUGAAAAUUUGAGUUGGUGUAAGUUAUUUUUACUGAGAUAUAUGGUAUACUUAACUGAUAAAUAAAGGUACUAUAUAAUCUUUUAAUCUGUUUUGUUUGUUUUUUU